CUCUCUUUCCUUUCCUCUCCUCCAACCCCCGCGCUCUUCCCUGCUGCUCCGCCGCCGCCUCUUUCUCCGCAAAUACACUGCGUGCCGCCGCCAGUGCCCGUGCCCUCUUCAUCUCCCGUCCCGAGAUCCACCUCCUCCAGCCUCAUAUCCCCUGAUUUUCUCGAUUUGGAUCUCGGGAGCACACAGGAGGAAGUCCCCGAGCGGUGGCAGCGUCAGAUCCCUCCGUCUCGCGGGGCAGGGCCUCCCGUCCGCGCCACGAUGACGCUGGCAUGGAGGCUCGGGCCCGGGCAGCCACCGCGGUGUCGGGUGCGCCGGCGAGGUCUCUGGGGACCGCGCAGUAAGGGACUGGCGCGGCUUCUGAUCGUUGGUUCCGGCGAUGCCAAGCCGAAGAUCUGAGUCGCCGAGCCGCAAGUAGCAGCUGGACAUCCAUCCGCCGGCCCCGACCGCGAGCUCCGGCCGUCCACCGCCCCGAGCUCCAUCCGUCUGCUACCCCCUACCCCAUCCGUCUGCCCCGUAGUCGCAGGCGUGGAUAGCCCCAUCAGCCGCAACCUUCAGCAGCCACGCACAAACCUUCUGAAGAAAAAUUCUAGCUCUCAUCUCCACUCUCUCUCAUCCGCUAGGGAUGGAGGGGCUGCCGAAAUCCACCUCAAGGCAGAGGGGUAGGCAGAAGGAUGGCGAGCGUUCCACUCGAUGGCGAGCCAUGGGUGAUGGCGAUCGCAACGCAAAGUUUUCCGAUCUGCCCGUCUUCAAGGGCGUGGAGCGACGGAGGUUGUCUCCCUCCUUCCACACGGUCGCAACAUUGGGAGAGGAUUCAGCCCCCGUGUGGUUCUGCACCAAGUUUCUGUCAAGAAUGGAAUCUACGAGUUCUGGAACUGGUUUGAUGAUAGGACAUGCUGGAAGCAUUUGGUGGCAUGUUACUGAAAAAUGUGCCCGAAAUAUUUGAUCGGUCUACUAAGUUGGUAAACGCUCUGAACAUCCAAGUGUUGGUGGAGACCGUUUGCGUGUUACUGCUCCAAUUAUCUCAGCAAAUACUUCCUGGGCUACUUACCUCUUGACAAAGGAAGCAAAGGGCACUGGUGCUUGGAUGGAUGCCAGCAGCUAUUCUGGCAAUGGUAAAUUGCACUUGAUUUAUAGAUGUUUUCAUUUUCAUAUGCCACGGUCUAAGUGGAAAUAUAAAUACUUUUCGAUGAAGCUAGGGAUGCCAUUAAGUAGCUUUAGCUUUACCUAUCUUUGGGUGGGAACAUUACACUCUUCAACAACGAAAGAGAGGGCGAGAGGUGAUCCUUCUGCUCUUUACUUGUGAAUCUCUAUUUCUUACUAGCUCGGGGAACUUGCACCCAAUAAAUUAAUGGAUGAUCUUGCAAACUUCAUCAAGUAUAUUAGUAGUUAAACUGUGAAUUUGAAAACAAAAAAAUUGUACAUUUGUUCGUGUUAAAUUUAGAUGUGUUCUUGGGCAAUAAUUGAUGGUAGAUAAUACAUGAUGGGGGAGUGGCCUUCAUUGCUACAAUUACUUUUCCUAUCCCUCCUUAGUUUCUUGGAUGUAUAUUAGUUUUUGUUUGCCCCUUUAUUUUUAGGGGAAGUUUUCUUACUGCCACAGCUUGGUUGUUCUAACAUGACAAAAUGUUGGAUUUAUUAUCUUGCUAAAUACUGGAUACUAGCUCAUUUUACUUCAGCUCAUAAGGAAAGGGAUCUGUAUGCAAAGCGUGUCAUGGGACAGUAUGCUGGAAUAAACGCAUAUAGCCAGUUCAUGUUUACCCUUUUCUUUACACAUAUGAUUGGGACUAGCAAAUUCACAUAUACAAAUAUGUUUCUAGAGCAAGGAUGAGAAGCACUCCAUACACAACCACAAUUGAUGGGAUGACGGAACUUUAGGUUUUCACCAGAAUCAAGCAUCAGUUCAAUGGGAACUGGAAUGAUGAAAACACUUGUCGUGCCUCAGAGUGGCGCCGAAGAGAAGGAUGAGCAGUCAGUGGUGUCUUCGUCUUCGCCGAUUGUGCUGUGCGUAGAUGCGGAAGACCGGCAACCGACGGCAAUAUGUUCAUGUGGCUUCAAGCAUAGGUUAUUCAUGGAGAUAUGCCACAAUUGCCACCUGAGGCCAUUAUGAAUUGUGGUGGGAUGGCACAAACAAGAAGAGAUGGUAUCAGGUGACUUAGUGAUAGUUUUGCUUUGGGAGUAUUAAGAAGAGUGACACGUAUUGUGGUUAAAGCCCGCAAAGAUAUGUUAGCUUUUAUUUUGAAUUGAUGGUUGUGCUCUCGCAUCCACCUUGUAACACUGUAUAGACCUUCUGGUUUGCUCUGUUUGCUAUGCUAUGCUAUAUGCCUGAACAUUUUAAUGAUGUAUUUCUGUUAA